rnacentral:snoRNA from 1 species
AACGGGACAAUCCGAGGUGUACGUGGCUGUCCCCCCGGUGGGAUUCAAUGCCGUGGUUCGACCUUCUGGUAGUUCCGAAGAGCC